UAUAAAACUAGCAAACAAAAUUACAUGCUGAUACUUUUGCUUUCUGUCUUGUUUAUUUUCUCCAUAGGUCAGAAUGAUGUUCUGGCGAUUUGAAACAAAAUCAGAAAACACACUGUACUUGGCCACUGGCCAGCUCAUCUAGUCUGACAGCUACUCUUUUCUCCUCCCAUCAGACGGGGAGUAAAUAUUAUCUUUGAGUCUUGCAGCAACUAAACAAUCUGUCAGGAUCAAAACAAGAGAAAGGAACUAUGAGUCAGAUCUUUACGGAUUGAGCCCAGCAAUAAAAAAGAAAACAGAUCAGAAUGAUAUAAGAUGUUAUUCAGAGAAAUAUUUCAGGAACAGGAACCAAAAUACAGUGUUUUCUCAGAGAAGUUUAUCAAAAGAAGCUUCAGGCACAUACUCAUGUAAGUCUAUUUACUCAUUUUAUGUUCCGCUGU
ensembl:lncRNA